UUCAGCCGAGCGCACAGGAGAGCUGCCCGGUGCCCCCUCCCAGCCUGCACCCAACCCGCCGGCCCGAGGGGCGCCCGCAGCACGGCCGGCAGGAUGUACCAGGGCCACAUGCAGGGUUCAGAUGUAGAUGAGAUCUGAAAUCUUUAGCUAUCUGUCAUCCAGCAGUCCUUCCAGGAACUGAGACCAACUUAAGAAAGAAAGAAUUACAAGGAAGA
rnacentral:lncRNA from 1 species